rnacentral:lncRNA from 1 species
GCAGUGAAAUCUGGCGAGAGCAGUCGGGAGGCGGGGAGGAAGCCGGCCAGCAGGCACCGAGACACCAGAGAGCCGCUUCCGGGGCCCUGGCGCCCCGGGAAGCCCGCGGGGCAGCGCCUUCCACACCGCAGUUCUAGAGACACCGCCUGUUCACAAGAGUUUGAAGAAGUCCACUCUUUUCCUGGCCAGAGCUGGGUGUCAAGACUACCUUUCUGGAGUCCUUAGAGAGACUCCCGGAAGAGUAUCUGAAGUUUCCCAAAGCCUCCAGGCCCUGCCUUCUGCCUGCACAUUCUGCCCUGAUUUCCGGAACCUGGAAGCCUAGGCAGGCAGUGGGGAACUCUGACUCGCCUGUGCUCUGGAGCUUGAUCCGAAAGCUUCCACAGUGAGGACUGCUCCGUGGGGGUAAGAGAGCACCAGGCACUGAGGCCUGGGAGUUCCACAGACCAACACCCCUGCUCCUGGCGGCUCCCACCCGGGACUUAGACCCUCAGGUCCCUAAUAUCCCGGAGGUGCUCUCAAUCAGAAAGGUCCUGCUCCGCUUCGCAGUGGAAUGGAACGGAUUUAGAAGCCUGCAGUAGGGGAGUGGGGAGUGGAGAGAGGGAGCCCAGAGUUACAGACGGCGGCGAGAGGAAGGAGGGGCGUCUUUAUUUUUUUAAGGCCCCAAAGAGUCUGAUGUUUACAAGACCAGAAAUGCCACGGCCGCGUCCUGGCAGAGAAAAGGCUGAAAUGGAGGACCGGCGCCUUCCUUAUAAGCUCGUUGGGGCCUAAGCCAGUACCGACCUGGUAGAAAAAGCAACCACGAAGCUAGAGAGAGAGCCAGAGGAGGGAAGAGAGCGCCAGACGAAGGUGAAAGCGAACCACGCAGAGAAAUGCAGGCAAGGGAGCAAGGCGGCAGUUCCCGGAACAAACGUGGCAGAGGGCAAGACGGGCACUCACAGACAGAGGUUUAUGUAUUUUUAUUUUUUAAAAUCUGAUUUGGUGUUCCAUGAGGAAAAGGGAAAAUCUAGGGAACGGGAGUACAGAGAGAAUAAUCCGGGUCCUAGCUCGCCACAUGAACGCCCAGAGAACGCUGGAAAAACCUGAGCGGGUGCCGGGGCAGCACCCGGCUCGGGUCAGCCACUGCCCCACACCGGGCCCACCAAGCCCCGCCCCUCGCGGCCACCGGGGCUUCCUUGCUCUUCUUAUCAUCUCCAUCUUUAUGAUGAGGCUUGUUAACAAGACCAGAGAGCUGGCCAAGCACCUCUAUCUCAGCCGCGCCCGCUCAGCCGAGCAGCGGUCGGUGGGGGGACUGGGAGGCGCUAAUUAAUUGAUUCCUUUGGACUGUAAAAUAUGGCGGCGUCUACACGGAACCCAUGGACUCAUAAACAAUAUAUCUGUUGGGC